rnacentral:rRNA from 2 species
UAAAAUGAGAGUUUGAUCCUGGCUCAGGACGAACGCUGGCGGCGUGCCUAAUACAUGCAAGUCGAACGAAACUUUCUUACACCGAAUGUUUGCAUUCACCGUAAGAAGUUGAGUGGCGGACGGGUGAGUAACACGUGGGUAACCUGCCUAAAAGAAGGGGAUAACACUUGGAAACAGGUGCUAAUACCGUAUAUCUCUAAGGAUCGCAUGAUCCUUAGAUGAAAGAUGGUUCUGCUAUCGCUUUUAGAUGGACCCGCGGCGUAUUAACUAGUUGGUGGGGUAACGGCCUACCAAGGUGAUGAUACGUAGCCGAACUGAGAGGUUGAUCGGCCACAUUGGGACUGAGACACGGCCCAAACUCCUACGGGAGGCAGCAGUAGGGAAUCUUCCACAAUGGACGCAAGUCUGAUGGAGCAACGCCGCGUGAGUGAAGAAGGUCUUCGGAUCGUAAAACUCUGUUGUUAGAGAAGAACACGAGUGAGAGUAACUGUUCAUUCGAUGACGGUAUCUAACCAGCAAGUCACGGCUAACUACGUGCCAGCAGCCGCGGUAAUACGUAGGUGGCAAGCGUUGUCCGGAUUUAUUGGGCGUAAAGGGAACGCAGGCGGUCUUUUAAGUCUGAUGUGAAAGCCUUCGGCUUAACCGGAGUAGUGCAUUGGAAACUGGAAGACUUGAGUGCAGAAGAGGAGAGUGGAACUCCAUGUGUAGCGGUGAAAUGCGUAGAUAUAUGGAAGAACACCAGUGGCGAAAGCGGCUCUCUGGUCUGUAACUGACGCUGAGGUUCGAAAGCGUGGGUAGCAAACAGGAUUAGAUACCCUGGUAGUCCACGCCGUAAACGAUGAAUGCUAGGUGUUGGAGGGUUUCCGCCCUUCAGUGCCGCAGCUAACGCAAUAAGCAUUCCGCCUGGGGAGUACGACCGCAAGGUUGAAACUCAAAGGAAUUGACGGGGGCCCGCACAAGCGGUGGAGCAUGUGGUUUAAUUCGAAGCAACGCGAAGAACCUUACCAGGUCUUGACAUCCUUUGACCACCUAAGAGAUUAGGCUUUCCCUUCGGGGACAAAGUGACAGGUGGUGCAUGGCUGUCGUCAGCUCGUGUCGUGAGAUGUUGGGUUAAGUCCCGCAACGAGCGCAACCCUUGUUGUCAGUUGCCAGCAUUAAGUUGGGCACUCUGGCGAGACUGCCGGUGACAAACCGGAGGAAGGUGGGGACGACGUCAAGUCAUCAUGCCCCUUAUGACCUGGGCUACACACGUGCUACAAUGGACGGUACAACGAGUCGCGAGACCGCGAGGUUUAGCUAAUCUCUUAAAGCCGUUCUCAGUUCGGAUUGUAGGCUGCAACUCGCCUACAUGAAGUCGGAAUCGCUAGUAAUCGCGAAUCAGCAUGUCGCGGUGAAUACGUUCCCGGGCCUUGUACACACCGCCCGUCACACCAUGAGAGUUUGUAACACCCAAAGCCGGUGGGGUAACCGCAAGGAGCCAGCCGUCUAAGGUGGGACAGAUGAUUGGGGUGAAGUCGUAACAAGGUAGCCGUAGGAGAACCUGCGGCUGGAUCACCUCCUUUCUAAGGAA